GUUAGAGUGCUGAGGGAAAGAAAGGAAAAGCAGGGUCCCUAAGUCCCCAGCAGGUUAAUGCAGAGCCAGUAAUAGUCCAGCCUCCUUUCCAAGACCAACACUGGGCCUCUCUCCCCCCCCCUUACUGUCAGUUACUCAGCAAUUCUAAAGCCCCUAGAGAGUACCCUGUAUGGGGACGGAGGACAUGUGGGGUGACACAUCUGUGGAUGGGCACUGCCUUCAGGAUCCCUUAUGGGCUCAGAGAGAUCAAGAUCUCCAUCAACCAGUCCCCCCCAAGAGGAGAGUGUACAGAGCCUUGUAUCAGGAAGACGAAGCAAGGAGGAGCCAUCUGGUCACUUGGCUGAUCUAAACAUGCCACCUGUGGACCACCAGACACACUCUGAUCAUCACAGUCCAGCCAAGCAGUUGUAUAAAGAUGCUUCUCUGUGGACUAAAGACAUGUGAAAAUAUGGUCUGAGGAUUUCUGUGCCUAGCACUGUGCCACCCUUUUGUGCUGAAGCAGGUGAGGGAGUUGGAUUCUGCACAGAGCUCACCGUCUGGUGGAAAACACCAAGGGUCCCAUGGGUGGGAACCACAACCUUGGUGAUGGCAGGGCCCCUUGCUGAGGCCCUCGGCUCCACAGACCACACAUCAUUAUUUGCAAAUGCUGAAGGCCUUUCUGAAGCCGCGUGGAAUUUCCUUCCCAACGCCAGAGUUUAGAAACCAGUAAAACAACCUUCCUAGAAUUACUGAUGAGAAGACAGCA
rnacentral:lncRNA from 1 species